CAUGCAGUCGAACGCUUCUUUCCUCCCGAGUGCUUGCACUCAAUUGGAAAGAGGAGGGGAGGACGGGUGAGUAACACGUGGGUAACCUACCCAUCAGAGGGGGAUAACACUUGGAAACAGGUGCUAAUACCGCAUAACAGUUUAUGCCGCAUGGCAUAAGAGUGAAAGGCGCUUUCGGGUGUCGCUGAUGGAUGGACCCGCGGUGCAUUAGCUAGUUGGUGAGGUAACGGCUCACCAAGGCCACGAUGCAUAGCCGACCUGAGAGGGUGAUCGGCCACACUGGGACUGAGACACGGCCCAGACUCCUACGGGAGGCAGCAGUAGGGAAUCUUCGGCAAUGGACGAAAGUCUGACCGAGCAACGCCGCGUGAGUGAAGAAGGUUUUCGGAUCGUAAAACUCUGUUGUUAGAGAAGAACAAGGACGUUAGUAACUGAACGUCCCCUGACGGUAUCUAACCAGAAAGCCACGGCUAACUACGUGCCAGCAGCCGCGGUAAUACGUAGGUGGCAAGCGUUGUCCGGAUUUAUUGGGCGUAAAGCGAGCGCAGGCGGUUUCUUAAGUCUGAUGUGAAAGCCCCCGGCUCAACCGGGGAGGGUCAUUGGAAACUGGGAGACUUGAGUGCAGAAGAGGAGAGUGGAAUUCCAUGUGUAGCGGUGAAAUGCGUAGAUAUA
rnacentral:rRNA from 1 species